rnacentral:rRNA from 1 species
UACGUAGGGUGCGAGCGUUAAUCGGAAUUACUGGGCGUAAAGCGUGCGCAGGCGGUGAUGUAAGACAGAUGGGAAAUCCCCGGGCUCAACCUGGGAACUGCAUUUGUGACUGCAUCGCUGGAGUGCGGCAGAGGGGGAUGGAAUUCCGCGUGUAGCAGUGAAAUGCGUAGAUAUGCGGAGGAACACCGAUGGCGAAGGCAAUCCCCUGGGCCUGCACUGACGCUCAUGCACGAAAGCGUGGGGAGCAAACAGG